AGUCAGCCUGCCCUUUAAAGCUUUAAAGACAGGCAUUGACUUCUCUCUAGUUAAGAAAGUACUGGAUAGGGGGAUCAUGGUAGAU
rnacentral:miRNA from 1 species